UACGUAGGACCCCAAGCGUUGUCCGGAUUUACUGGGUGUAAAGGGAGCGCAGGCGGAUUAUUAAGUCGAUUGUGAAAUCUUGCGGCUCAACCGCAAAACAGCAGUCGAUACUGGUGAUCUUGAGUGUGGAAGAGAGUGGCGGAAUUCAUGGUGUAGCAGUGAAAUGCGUAGAUAUCAUGAAGAACACCGGUUGCGAAGGCGGCCACUUAGUCCAUUACUGACGCUCAUGCUCGAAAGCGUGGGGAUCAAACAGGAUUAGAAA
rnacentral:rRNA from 1 species